UACGUAGGGCGCAAGCGUUGUCCGGAAUUAUUGGGCGUAAAGAGCUCGUAGGCGGUUUGUCGCGUCUGCUGUGAAAACCUAAGGCUCAACCUUGGGCUUGCAGUGGGUACGGGCAGACUAGAGUGCGGGUAGGGGUGACUGGAAUUCCUGGUGUAGCGGUGGAAUGCGCAGAUAUCAGGAGGAACACCGAUGGCGAAGGCAGCCCCUUGGACCUGUAC
rnacentral:rRNA from 1 species